rnacentral:rRNA from 1 species
UUCUACGGGGGGCAGCAGUCGGGAAUAUUGCGCAAUGGAGGAAACUCUGACGCAGUGACGCCGCGUGCAGGAAGAAGGUUUUCGGAUUGUAAACUGCUUUAGACAGGGAAGAAAAUGACGGUACCUGACUAAGAAGCCCCGGCUAACUACGUGCCAGCAGCCGCGGUAAUACGUAGGGGGCAAGCGUUAUCCGGAUUUACUGGGUGUAAAGGGAGCGUAGACGGCAGAGCAAGUCUGAAGUGAAAGCCCGCGGCCCAACUGCGGGACUGCUUUGGAAACUGCCCGGCUAGAGUGCUGGAGAGGUA